GUGCAGCAGUCGAGAAUACUUUACAAUGUGCGAAAGCACGAUAAGGGAACUCUGAGUACCUCCUAAGAAGGCUGUUCAGGUGUCUAAAAGCACCUGAAGGAAGGGCUGGGUAAGACCGGUGCCAGCCGCCGCGGUAACACCGGCAGCCCAAGUGGUAGCCACGUUUAUUGGGUCUAAAGCGUCCGUAGCCGGCUGGGUAGGUUCCUUGGGAAAUUUGGCUGCUUAACAGUCAAGCUUUCAGGGAAUACUGCUCGGGCUUGGGGACCGGGAGAGGUCAGAGGUACUCCAGGGGUAGGGGUGAAAUCCAUUAAUCCUUGGGGGACCACCGGUAGCGAAGGCGUCUGACCAGACCGGGUCCGACGGUGAGGGACGAAGGCUAGGGGCGCGAACCGGAUUAGAUACCCGCGUA
rnacentral:rRNA from 1 species